rnacentral:rRNA from 1 species
UACGGAGGGUGCGAGCGUUGUCCGGAGUCACUGGGCGUAAAGGGCGCGUAGGCGGUCUGCUAAGCGUGCGGUGAAAGCCUGGGGCUCAACCCCAGGUCUGCCGUGCGAACUGGUGGACUAGAGCACUGUAGAGGCAGGUGGAAUUUCGGGUGUAGCGGUGGAAUGCGUAGAGAUCCGAAAGAACACCGGUGGCGAAGGCGGCCUGCUGGGCAGUUGCUGACGCUGAUGCGCGACAGCGUGGGGAGCAAACAGG